GCUGUGGCGCAGUGAUAGAGCAUCUGUUUUGCAUGCAGAAGGUUCCAAUUUCAAUCCAUGGCAUCUCCA